rnacentral:lncRNA from 1 species
CUCUUAGAUGCUAGCUAUGUUUCUUGCAAAUGGCAAAAUCUUUGUCUUUUAAAGGUUGGGGCUUUGCUUGUCAGGGUAUUGUUUGGAGGUAGAGGUGUGAGUGUGGGUGUGGCAUGAUGGGAGCCAGGGGCCAGGCAACUUGUCCCAUAGCCAUUACCAGAGAGGCUCUAGGAAGGUAUAUUUACAAGUUGGAGGAAGUUGGAAUUGCUGAAGACAAGGCUUGGCAGUGACCCUCCCUUGAAGCAGGUUGGUGAACACAACCGUCAUUGCCACAAGAGACAGCAUCAACAUGUAGAUAAAGGACAAAUACAAAUCUAGAGAGAGAGAGAAAUGAUGAUAGCAAGGGCACAGAUAUUUAUGAAGAGACAGAAAUGAAAAUAAUGUAUUAUAUUGAAAUAAACUUGUGCUUAACAUCAA